UGCUUUGCCUCACAAUCAACAGCAGGCGAACGCAAAAUACAUGAUCGCAGCUGAAUGCAGCAAGCUGCGGAAGAAUAUGGAACAUAGAAUUUGCAACAGAACUAAGCUAAGAAGAUUGAAAUCCUGAGAAACAAUUUUCUGAAGAAAUGAAACAGCCUGCCCUCCUGAACCCUUGGGGGAAAAUAGCCUCUCGCUUUGCUCAGAAUAAGAAACAGUAAAACUGUAGAAGUAAAACAGACAGCCCUGCCA
rnacentral:lncRNA from 1 species